rnacentral:rRNA from 1 species
AACGAACGCUGGCGGCAGGCUUAACACAUGCAAGUCGAGCGCCCCGCAAGGGGAGCGGCAGACGGGUGAGUAACGCGUGGGAAUCUACCCAUCUCUACGGGAUAACGCAUGGAAACGUGUGCUAAUACCGUAUACGUCCUUCGGGAGAAAGAUUUAUCGGAGAUGGAUGAGCCCGCGUUGGAUUAGCUAGUUGGUGGGGUAAAGGCCUACCAAGGCGACGAUCCAUAGCUGGUCUGAGAGGAUGAUCAGCCACACUGGGACUGAGACACGGCCCAGAAUCCGACGGGAGGCAGCAGGGGGGAGUAUUGGACAAUGGGCGCAAGACUGAUCCAGCCAUGCCGCGUGAGUGAUGAAGGCCCUAGGGUUGUAAAGCUCUUUCACCGGUGAAGAUAAUGACGGUAACCGGAGAAGAAGCCCCGGCUAACUUCGUGCCAGCCGCCGCAGUAACAC